rnacentral:rRNA from 1 species
CAAUAGUGUAUAUUAAAGUUGUUGCAGUUAAAAAGCUCGUAGUUGGAUUUCAAGAAACGCAUCUGGGAAACCAGUUUGCUUUCUACCAGUCUUUGACUGUUACUGUGAGAAAAUUAGAGUGUUUCAAGCAGGCAAUUGCAGGAAUACAUUAGCAUGGAAUAACGAAUGUGUCUACAAUUUGGUUGAUUGUAGAUUACGAUUAAUAGGGACAGUUGGGGGCAUUAGUAUCUAAUUGUCAGAGGUGAAAUUCUUGGAUUAGUUAAAGACUAACGUAUGCGAAAGCAUUUGCCAAGGAUGUUUUCAUUAA